GGCUACUGCGCCGACGCAACGGAAAAAAAAGUCGUCAGGCUGCCUCUUGGCUGCGCCAAACGCCGCCAGGCUGCAUCGCCGGAAGAGCUCCAUCAACCUGCUGUCGACAACAAAUUCUUCAUCAAACACCUCUGUCUAAAGCAUACCUUAGAGAGAAACUGGUUCUACAACCUUAAGGGCAUACCCUUGAGGAAGAUCGCAUCGUCGGGUUAUACACAAUCUCAAGGGCAUACCCUUGAGAGAGAUCACACUGCACGGGCAUAUACGCCGUUGUGGCUCUUCGGAAAGGACUACUACAAGUUCGACAGAGAAUUGACCAAGCCAGCAAUAAAGAGAUAUUUGUCAGCUCGUCAACAAUGAGAUCAUAUCGUAUCUGACAUACGCAUGCACCAUCCACGACUACAUGAGGCGAAGACUUUUUUUGUUUCUUUUGUAGUUUGUAAUAGGCUAGCCAUAUGAUGUAAUUUUAUUUUUCUUUUAU
rnacentral:misc_RNA from 1 species